rnacentral:lncRNA from 1 species
AUUAUAAAAAGGGUGCAUGAUUUGUGGUAGUGGUGAAGUGAUUAGUGAAUUGGUAAUAAUCCUGAUAGAGAGGUUGGUUUGUACUGUGGCCAAUAAUCUGUAACUGUUUUAACUGUUGUUGUAUCAUAGAAAUAGUGCUUCUUGUGAUGUACCACUUUUAAAUUUGUGCCCCAAUUGGUCUAGUUUUCCUUUACCUUGUAUGGACUUUAUAAAAGGGAAGUGAUGUUAUGAUUCACAUGCUGUAUUUGUCUAGUCAAAUUGGAGAUAAGAGCAAUCUUUUCUUCAAUAUGUUGUACAGGUUUGUCUCAAAAUCAUUUACAUUAUCUCGGGUGAAUUGAGAAG